CUCGUGGAGGAGUUCAGCCCGAACGGGUCCCUUUGCAGAACUACAUGGCACAACAACUCGGACGCCUCGCUAACGAGGCUGGCGUGGCAAUGGCUCAUGCAAACGAAGGAGACAAUGCCGGGGGGCACUUUAGGGCAUUUGUCGAGAGAGUCCGUCGGAGCUGCAGGCGGAUGGCCGC